AGCGCACAAUUAUGAAGACCGAAUUUACAAAAUAUUUAACUAUAUUUUUUAAAAUUAUGAUCGUAAUUUUUUCAACGGUACGUCAAAACUGUUGAACUAAAUACUCCCGUUUGGUUAGCUGGUUUUACAAUUAAGGCUCUCAGUUCUCGAAGAAAAAGAAAGGCAAAAAGAAUAAGAAACGAAACACGAGAAGAAACCCCCGCCCCCAAAGAAAAAGGUCUUAGGCUCUUAGCUCACUCAAACGUCGUCGUUUCGAUUGCGACAACUCUUCGAAAACGGGGGUGCUGACUGCUGAGUGGGUAAUUGACUGAGAGCGGUAAUCGAAGCGAAGAGGCUGAAAAUGGCUACAAACCCAGCUCGGAGUUUAUGUACAUAAUGCUCAAUAUGGGUAACGCAUUCUCCCCAACGCCUCUAGUCUUUCCGGCGGUUCUAGUAGCUCUGCCUUCUUCCAAGUGUUGUUUCCGAUGACUACACCAAUCUAAUCCUCGAAAGACAAUCUAUCUAGAGCUGCCACCAACACCUCAGUUUGAUCAUCCACACAUUGCCCGAAGGUUCUGCCUGUGCAGCCUGGUGCUGCCACGAUCGUUCCAUCGAAUCGGUGACCGCGCUGAUCAAAAGAUCCGACACCGAUCAUUCUAGAGCUGUCGAGACUAAUCGCAUCAUAGUCGCAAUGUGCCCAAACACACAAAAUCAAAGUUCUGCCGCUCUAGUCAUGCACUGACGUGCCGCCGCUCCUGCUUCGCAUGUCAUCCAUGCGCCGACACGCUUUCUGCACACAUUGUGUGCCACAUGUCAUCCAAAUAGUGUGCCGCAUAAGCCCUAGCAUCACAUCAACGAUCGAUUAAGUGGCACGUCAAAAUCUGACAUGUAAUCAAUCCAUGUCACUUACCGCAUCAACACUCCUACCACGUCAUCAGUACACCAUGGUUGGUUGUUUGUUGACGUUUUUUGGACUGUUUUUGCAUUUGACAUCUAUAAAUGGCGCAAAACGAGCUUUCUCAUCCUCUUCAGGUUACAUUGGAUGGCACAAACUACAUUAUUCGAGCCCAAUCUAUGCGUAUUUUUCUCGAAAGUCGUAAUCUUUGGCUUUAUAUGACAGGAGAUCUCAAAAAGCCCACUAAAAGCCCUACUGAAUUAGAUGAAGCUUUUCGCACUCGCCUCAUUGAUUGGGAGAGCAAUCAUCAUCAAAUCCUUAUGUGGUUCCGUAACUCCACCAUUCCAUCUAUCUCGACGAUGUUUGGCAAUUUUGAUGAUUCUAAGUCUGCUUGGGAUAUGCUUGCUUCCCGCUACUCAUCUACUGAUGGUUAUGGAGAGUACUAACUUAUGCUUGAUCUCUAUCAUCUGAAGCAGGAACCAGGACAAACUAUCAAUGACUUCUUUACUCGCAUGCAAUUCUUAUGGGGUCAGCUUUCUCUUUCGGACCCAACUUGGAAGGAUCCUAAAGAUGCUCAGUUAUAUGCUGCUCGCAGAGAUCAAGAUCGACUUUAUCAAUUUUUUAUGGCCCUGAGUGAUGAUUUCGAGUCUAUCCGUGGGAAACUUCUACAUCACACUCCUCUUUCUUCCUUGGACAGGCCGUCUUUGAACUUGUUCAAGAGGAGACUCGACUGUAUAGACUACGCUCUCAGCAUAGUCAUACAAUAUUGGCUGUCUCACCCUCUGAUUCUUCAUCUUUUCAAAUAGAGCGAUCUGACAAGUCAGGUCCUCAUCACUCUCCUUUUAAAACUCGCGACAACAAUUAUUGUCUCUAUUGUAGACGCCCAGGACACUAUUGAAAAUCGUAGGUGCUGCCCCAAAUCUAAUGCGCUCACUACAACGGUUGCCAAUACUAAGAGUGCUCAAUCUUCAACUGCUACCUUUGACGAGGCCCCAGGAUUGAAUUUCACCCUAUCUAUAGCUGACUUAGAGGCAAUAGUCAAUCGGGUUUUAUCACUUUCUGGAUCCUCGGAUAAGCCAAACGCUCGGGAUCGGGCGUAGAGUUGGGCAAAUGUUCGAGUUUUCAUCCUUACAUCUUCCGACCUCUAGAGUUUCUACUGAUGCCUCUUCACCACCACCAUCCAUUGUGCUUUGCCACUUGAGUCUUGGUCAUGCAUAUGCGUCUUGGGUACAAUUAUUAGCUUCUAGAGAUUUAUUAGGUUCGGUGUCCACUAGUUCUAGCUCUUUUGAUUGUGUCUCUUGUCAUCUUGGAAAACAACUAGCAUUACCAUUUAAGAAUAAUGAGUCUGUUGCAUCUGCCCCUUUUGAUUUAGUUCAUUCUAAUGUUUGGGGACCUUCCCCUGUUUCUAGUAUGAGUGGCUCACAUUAUUUUGUAAUUUUUGUUGGUGAUUUUGCCAUUACACCUGGGUUUUCUUGAUAAAAUCGCUUUCUGAAUUAUUAGAUAUUUAUAGCAAUUCUGCCAAAAUGAUUGAGAUCCAGUUUUCAAAAUGCAUCAAAGUUUUUUCUUUUGAUAAUGCUUUAGAAUAUACUCCACACGCAUUUCCGGACAUACUCUAACAUUAAGACAUUGUUCCUCACUUGUCAUGUCCGGGUACCUCACAACUCCCCCAGUACAUGCUCUAAAUACCAUGCAUGCUCUCCUCCUUUCAUCCUCAACACCCCCGGUGGCCAUGGAUUCUUUUGUUAUUUUUAAUCAGUGGCGAUUUCCCUAUUUUGUACAUCCAAACUAGGGUAAUUUUGGUAGAAGAAAUGGAUGAUGCGUACGUGAUUGGCACAUGCGACUUUUCCCGUUCAAAGUAAUGACCAAAUUUAACUAUGGGGCAACUCAAAACAUUUUGGUAGUAUAUGAAUUCAAGUUGUAUCUUAGAGGAGUAAGUGCAAAUGGGAUGAUAGUUUGGGUGGAUAAAAGUGCAAUUUACCUUUCCUUUACUUUUAUUUUGUUAAAAUUUUAGCUUAAUUUUUUAUUUUCUUUAUGUAAUCAUUCUCAUAUCUUCUUGACCUUGCAUAUGAGAAAGAAUCUAACAUGGAAUACAUCAGACCUUCGUAACGAGCACACUAGUAGCUGCUUGCUACUGCAGAAGAAGGCACAUGAAUUGCAUGUGACCGUCCCUUCUACUUGAUGAUCAUGUGCAUGCCCAUAUGACUUUUUCUAGUGUGGCGAAGAACUAUAGGUUCCGAUAGUGUGGAGGAGAAAUGGCUCUGCACUGUUUGCUUUGUCUUUGGACGUGGGGUUUUGGUGGAGCUUGCGGCUGUUAACUUUGACUCAUAAGAAAGUUGCAAGCUUCCUGUGAACCAUGUUUUCUGGAGAAUUUGCUGGUGGCUUUGGUCUAUUAGCCAUUCCAAGUAUUGAGACGGUUCUUCUUCAACCCCAUCAUUGUUCUGCCUGCCUUUAUUGACUAGCAGAAGAUAGUAAUUGUUCUGACUGCUUUAUUGAGAUGGCCUAAGGCUGCCAUACUGGAGAUCCUUACUAUUUCUUUAAUGACCUCUUGACUGUGGAAAGCUCGCUUUGAUGCAGGAGAGAUGACUACUGUUAUCAUUGAACUAGAUAAUCAAACUCUGGCCGCAUAGCUCCAAAUCCCGUGUGCUUGAUAUGGUGCUGUACUGUUAAUUGAUGAGGCUAUGAUGCAGAGCAGGAGUACAAUAGCAUGUCCACUAGCCUGAUGACAGUGCCAAGGGUGGUCUUCUACUUGGAGCUAACGGAUGGAGCAGUGAAAUGAUGGCACGGUCAGGCGGGACUAUUGGAUUUGGGUAGAAAUCUUAAAGCAAUUGCAUUGAUGUCCACACACUUGGAGAACGAGUAAUUUGAGUACUUGAACAUCCAGGGACAGAGAAACUGGACAGAGACUUGGGGGCAAGUUGUGUGGCUAGUGUUUUAAUGGAUGUUUAAACCCUUCACAGAAGGACCUUAUUAUCAAUUUAGAUAUGCAAAGGAAAGUGACUGCAAAAUUAUGGGGAUUCAUAGGUUAAUUUUGGAGAAGAUUGGCAACUUAUCAUCUUCACAAUUCAAGAAAGGCAUAUACUUCUGUAGAUAUCUGAUGAAUAAUCUUAGCAGCUGAACAGGACUUGGGGGCAGAAUUGGCUGUUGGUAAUCGCAUCUUUUAUUUCAUCUAUAAGAAUGUGCUCUAUUGUCGAAGCACAUGCCUGGUUUGUUCACUUGUGCUUUCUAAAUACCAAAUUGCUGUAUUUGUUUGGUGAGUGCAACUUAUUUGUAUCUUGCCCAUUUGUUGCAAUUUACACAUUUAUCUUAAAACUUAACCAGAAUCUUGAACAUGCUCACCCAAUUUGUGUAGGGUAUGGGUUCUAUACUUAUAGACUAGUAUUUUUGUUUCCGUUUCUUACUGCAUUUCAUUGUUCUUGUGGUUUUGGAUGGGAGCCAUGGCGGUUGAUCCGACCAAUUCCUCAAGGCUUCAUCAAUUUGAGGGUGCCAUGUUCCAUGCACGCAGAGUUUCUUCUUGCACCCAAACUAUACACGCAUAUUUUCUGCAAACAUUGUACAGCCAAACAACCAGACAAAUAAUACAGUAAAGAAAAUGAAAGACUAAUCUCAUUGAUGGGCUCCGAGGAGAAAAGGUAUCCAAGGUAUUGGGUUUCUUGGAUUCCGUGUACAUGGGGAAUGUAAAAGAGCCACGAUGGUGCUAGUAGGACAGAAGGAUAUAUUUUGAAGGCAAAGAUUGUUUACAUAGGGAAGGAACCAUGGAAAGAGCUUGAGAAGCCAUCUAUUUAUUUUCCACAUAAGGUGACAUUUAUCUUGGAUGGUCUAAAAUUCAAUGCGUUUAGGCUGUAGAUACAGAGAUUGGCUUGUCUUGAUUUAAUUGCUAUUUGAUCUGAUGUGGUUUUGUAACCAGGAAUAUUGCAUGAAGAAGAUGAAGUCCGUAUUAAGCUUGCCUGGCAGGAAGACACGACUUCAGAAUCUUCUGCACAUGUAAUUCCAUCAACCGAUGGUAUUUCCAACUUGUAAACUCCAUGCUUAUUUGUAGUUCUGUUCACCGAUAAUGAUAUCUGUUCUAUGGUUUUCCGGGAGAUGGCUUUGAACAUGCAAUCUAUUCUAACUUCUGCAUCUGGUAAGACAGACAGCACCAUGAAAUAUAUGAACUUCAUAUCUUUACAAAUGAAUUACACAUAAUAUACCCAAUCAAACUUGAAAUUAGUUUUUUUCACCUGGUAUGAAGUAGCUGUGUCUGGAGAAGCUGUUAUUGGAGCAGAUGUCACAAUAAACAAAACCCAUCACAAUGAUCUGGGAGUUAUUUUUUGGUGGCUCAACUCCCGCAUAUAGGGAAUUUAUAAAUAAAGAUGAAACGACAAAGAGAAUCACCGGAUUCAUGGCUAACUUUGGAGAUAAAGAGUAUGGCUUAAACAUAUGCUUCUUUAUGAAUAGUUGUUUUGCUAGCUGUGAAUAGCCUUCAAAGCAUUAUCACAUGGUAGGAGAUGAAUUUGUUUGUGUGGAUAAUGAGCGGCAGUUGUUGGUGGAGAUCCAACUGUAAGCAAAAAGUGGAGGAAAUUUAUCCUUUUCACAAGAAACAAAGUCAUGUGAAUGUUCUUUGGCAAGAUAUGGACUUGAUGUGUAGGAGAGAGAAGACAGUAGAUACUUUAGUUAAACUGGGAGGUGGUGGUGCUUGAUUUGAAGGUCUCAGCUCCACAAGAAAAAAUGCAGGGUGUUUACACUGUCGCACUUAUUGUCUACUGCAGGAGGCUCUCUCUCCCCCAAGGCGCGUGGCAGUCCAAAUCAUUAGGUACUAAUUAAGCUUAUUUAUAUGAUGUCCAUCCAUGUUCAGUUUAAGUUUAGCUUUAGUGCAUCCAAUUUCCACUUGUUCAGUGACUUUUCUGCAUAAUUUGUGCAUCUGAAUGUGGGUUGUAUGGAUGGAUAAGGUUUUUACUUUUUCUGUUGGGGGUGGGGUGCCUGGGAGAAGGGAUGGGAUGGGAUGGAUAAGGUAUUGAAGGGAAAAGCUUUUGACAUGAUUGAGAUAAAAUGGGGUUCGUGUGAUUGAGAUAAAAUAUAAAAAUGGGGUUCAUGUGAUUGAGAUAAAAUGGGACAAUGGGUUUCAUGUAGUUCAUGUGAAUCUUAAAAGUUCAAGUGCUAGGGAAAUUGUAGGUGUUGAGCGUUAAAUACCAAGAAUAUACACCUACCUUAUGCUCUGUUUGGAAAUUGUAAGAUGGUUUGAAAGAGUUUUAUUCUAUACACUAAUCAUUUGAACUUGUAGCA